GACGAACGCUGGCGGCGUGCUUAACACAUGCAAGUCGAACGGAAAGGCCCUGCUUUUGUGGGGUGCUCGAGUGGCGAACGGGUGAGUAACACGUGAGUAACCUGCCCUUGACUUUGGGAUAACUUCAGGAAACUGGGGCUAAUACCGGAUAGGAGCUCCUGCUGCAUGGUGGGGGUUGGAAAGUUUCGGCGGUUGGGGAUGGACUCGCGGCUUAUCAGCUUGUUGGUGGGGUAGUGGCUUACCAAGGCUUUGACGGGUAGCCGGCCUGAGAGGGUGACCGGCCACAUUGGGACUGAGAUACGGAGCAGACUGCUACGGGAGGCAGCAGGGGGGAAUAUUGCAAAAUGGGCGGAAGCCUGAUGCAGAAACGCCGCGUGCGGGAUGACGGCCUUCGGGUUGUAAACCGCUUUCGCAGGUGACGAAGAGUGAGUGACGGUAAUGGGUAAAGAAGCACCGGCUAACUACGUG
rnacentral:rRNA from 1 species